rnacentral:rRNA from 1 species
GACGAACGCUGGCGGCGUGCUUAACACAUGCAAGUCGAACGAAGUGGCGAACGGGUGAGUAAUACGUGAGUAACCUUCCCUCCCUUUCGGGAUAAGCCUUGGAAACGGGGUCUAAUACCGAAUAGAGGGGGGUGGGCUCGCGGGCUAUCAGCUCGUUGGUGGGGUGAUGGCCUACCAAGGCGGUGACGGGUAGCCGGCCUGAGAGGGUGACCUGCCACAUUGGGGCUGGGAGAAGGCGGAGACUCCCACGGGGGGCAGCAAUGGGGAAUUUUGCACGAUGGGGGAGACCCGGAUGCAGCGGCGCCGCAAGAUUUAGAAGGCCUUCAAGUUGUAAAAAUCUUUCGGUACCAAAGGAAUAAGGACCGGCUAAUUACGUGCCAGCAGCCGCGGUAAUAC